GCAAACACACUACCCGUCACAGGUGUUGAGAGACUCACCUGAGAAGGAGGUCCGGAUGGCUCGCACGGACCUUGGUCACCAUCACCGGUGGUUACCAGCAUCAGGGGUAAACGAAGAGGAGGAAGGGCUGUUGGCUGGGGACCUGGGCUGCGGUCCUGGUCGAACUCAGCUCCUCGACCAGUUGGCUAAAGAGGAAUACUACAGUAGUGUGAGGUUUGCCGUCGGCUACCAGGAGCUACAGGCACGCUGGUCGACGGACUGGGCUACUGAUGGAUUUAGGGUCAUGGACACCUCCCAGCCAUCCUCCAGAACGAAUACGUCGCACCUUUCACCACUUGAUGAGUCUCCAGUGGCUCCUUCCUGCCCCCUACAUGACGAUUCUCCUAAAGGGCAACAUUCAUUCCUCCAUUCACUUCAGAAGUCAUCCAAGGGGUCAUCGUCCUCGCGGGCUGACAUGCCGACAAGGAAACACUCCCUUCUUCUCCCCCUUCCCGAGUUUUCUGCAGCGUCCUCGUCAGGGUAUGUGGACGUGGGUGAUUCACGGUGGCGCCGCAGUAGAAGGUGGGGCUCCUCGACGGAUUGUUCUCCCCUGGGGACGCCAUCACCGCUCUUAUCAACAGCUCCUUCUCCCAUUGCUUCGUCCCCCUCCACUUCCCUCACCUCCUCCCCCAGACGGAUCAGGGCGCGUCAUAGAGACACUAUCGGGGUGUCGUCGUGUACGUCAUCGCCUGGAUGUGCAUUGUCGUCAGGGUCGUACUGCUGUGGGGACGACGAGGGUCCCAGCGAGGAGCUCCACGACGACCACAGCGCAGAGGGACGACGUGGAGGGCUGCUGGAGGCCAUACGACGUGUGUUACACAACCUAAGACGACGACCGCAACAACACACCACCACCCCCUUACACGGCCAGCAGGUGGCAGAGUUGGAGGCCGAGCUGGAGUCCUACAAACAGCUGAGUGUGGCCAAGAGACAGGCAGCAGACCUCCUCAAGCACCAGCUGAUGGAGGCGCUGUACGAGCAGGUGGUGAGGCAGGUGGAGGAGAAGCACCGCAGGAGACAGCUGGAGCAGGAACUGAUGGCCCUCGAGUUUGAGGUCCACCAGUUGAGGUCCACAACACGGCGUCAAGACUUCAACGACCUUGACACUCAGCUGCUGAAAGAAACAGCUGAUACGACGUCAGCUGGGCUCACAACUGAUUCAUGAUGUCAGCCACCCGGGCCGUGACGUAAACCACCAUAGUCGUGACGUCACACCUCAGCUCGACGAUUGCUCUCGGCGAGUGAGAGUGACGCGGAAGAAUACACAGAGACGCUGCUCAUACUAAUGAGAAACAUAAGGCGCCGGAACAAGUAGUAUGCCAUUAGGAUGCACUUCUCAUCCUCUUUUAAAUGGAAACAAUUGAAUAUGCAUAUGCUUGAAAAUAAAAUAUCUUUUAUAGUUGUCAAUAAGAUAAAAACUAGCUUCCUGAGCAUGUUAAAGAUCUUAGUUGUUGAUGCACCUUAGUACUUAAUAAAAAUCUCGUUGGAGUUAUUUUAAAAAAUGCCAUUCAUUAGUGAAAAUUAUGAAAAAGCGCUGUGUGAAUUCUGACACAAAAAUAAAGUUAUAGGAAUAAUUUUUGUAAGUCAUAGAUCGUUAAUGUGAAAAGACUGGGUGUGUAUGUUGACAAUGAACUGAAGUUCUCGGGGCAUUGUGAGGUGAAUUUAAUAAUAAAGUUAUUAUAGUAAGUUGUCAGUUAUCGUAACGCUCUUCAAGGGUUACGUGCUUCCCCGUUUAGAGUACGGUCACCUAGUCUAGUCUCCGAGAUAUGCAAGAGGCUGUCAGUUGAUUGAAAAUGACCAAAGGAGGGCCACCAGACUGCUGCCUGUGCUAAGGUACUUCAAUUACCCAGAGAGAUUAGACCGCCUGCAAAGGCCUAGCUUAUGCAAUAGACGGGUAAGAGGUGACUUAAUUGAAGUUUACAAAGAUCUCAGAGGGCACUACUCAGACGAAUGUCCAUACUUGGAGAUGGCGGAAACCCGCACCACUAGAAGUCAGCUCAAGGUUGAACAAGCCACAAUUCUAGAAAAUUGUGAGGGCAAACUUUUUUGGAAUGAAUAUUGUAAACUCGUGGAAUAAUCUGCCAGAGUGAUGUGACAACACCGUGUGCGAGCUUUUUCAAGACCAGACUUGACCAACACUGGCGCAGGUACAGACUACAGAUACAUCCUGGAGUCUGGAGCCAGUAUACAUGCCUAGUACUUGCCAUCAUGGGUAACAAGGGACGUGACCAAGCGGCUAACGAGUCGAUCAGUGGCGAAGAGAAUAAAGGUAAAAAAAUAAAAAAAGUAAGGAGUUUAUAGACAUCAUCAAUAUAAACAAACUGGUCGCUACUACUGAGUCUCCGCCCGAGAUGUGUCUCUGUACUGUACACUAUUAAGUUUACAAUGUAUUCAACGCCUCUGUCACAGCAUAUUCAAGUUUACCGUGAUUGCAGGUAUGUCAGUGUAGAUAUACAGGGUAGUAUUAGUACAUUUGUGAGUCUAUAGUUCGAAUCUUAGACCUUGUAUAGGCUGAUGAUACGGUAGUGUUCAGUCAUCAGUUCUCGAACCCUUUGUCGAGAUAACAAAGCCACAUUUCGAAACAAUAAAACCUGAUUUUUCUGAAAAACAAAUUGAGUUAUAUUAAUUAUGAGUAUAAAUAUCUACAUAUUACUGAUCUCACAAAAAUUCAGGUGGUCUUUAGUUAUUUGUGUGUUGAUACAUUCAGGAAAUGAAACCCCGAGAUUUACGAAAUCCAACUGACUUUUUUGUAAAAAUCGUUAUACUGUAGUUAGGUACUGUUAACCAUAACUAGCAUAAGUAUCGUAAACUAUAAGAAAAAUCAGCCUUAGAUAUUCUCAGACAAGUUAGGCUUAUUAUUAAGUACGGGUUCGUUAUCUCAUCUGGGGAUGAGGGAGUCGGUAGUGCCUUCAGACCGAUUCAGAUAAAGGUACUGUUAACGGUAUAAUAUAUUGAACACUAUUGUGAAUGUUGACAAAAGUAACUCGGAUACGUUUAGAAUUUAGUGAGAGUUUGAUGUUAGCGAUGUGGAUACAGUAGGUGUUUUCGUGUAGCGGGUUCUAUACGAAACAUUUCACCUGAUUGUGUAAGUCUUGAUAAUGUUGUCUGGUCGCCAUUAAUGUUGACAGAUCAAAUCUAACCUAACUCAACUUGCCUAACUAAACUUAUCCCAUUUUUACUUAACCUAACUUACCAAACCUGAUUUAACCUAUCCAAAUUUAUGUCAACCUAACUUACCCACCUAAUCUAUCCUCACCAAAUCUAAGCUAACCUAACCAAACCAAAUCUAACCUACGAAAUCUAUCUAAUCUAUCCUAACCUAACCCAACCAACCAAACCUAUUCAAACAUGAGCAAACCUAACCAAACUUAACCUAGCCUAGCCUAAUCUAACCGGACCUAACCUAAACCUAAGCUAUCUAAAUCUAAAUUAAUCUUGCAUUCGUUAUCUACGUUAGGUUAAGUUAGGUUGGUUCACUUUAUCUGUCGUUAUAUUAAGGUACUUUCAUAAUACAAUAUCCUACUCGAAAUAUAUGAAGUUCUUUAUUGUUAAAUAUAUUUCACCUAAUUUAGUCCACGCACUGAAUUAUGUAGGUUUGUCUGUCUGUCUGUAGAUGUUACUAUGGAAAUCUUAAUGGAAUUUAGUAGAGUAGAUGGGAGUAUUUUUUAUUGCAGAACAAAUGAGUAUUAUUCAUGCCUUUUAAUUAAUAUACCCUUAAAAAUAUGUAUUCGGUAUAUUGGGUGAAUUAUUUUUAUUAAUAAAUCCACAAAAAAUA
rnacentral:misc_RNA from 1 species